GACGGAGGAUGCAAGUGUUAUCCGGAAUCACUGGGCGUAAAGCGUCUGUAGGUGGUUUAAUAAGUCAACUGUUAAAUCUUGAGGCUCAACCUCAAAAUCGCAGUCGAAACUAUUAGGCUAGAGUAUAGUAGGGGUAAAGGGAAUUUCCAGUGGAGCGGUGAAAUGCGUAGAGAUUGGAAAGAACACCGAUGGCGAAGGCAUUUUACUGGGCUAUUACUAACACUCAGAGACGAAAGCUAGGGUAGCAAAUGGG
rnacentral:rRNA from 1 species